AGUUCAGUGGGUAGAACGCACCCAUGGUAAGGGUGAGGUGGCCGGUUCGAUCCCCUAACUAU
rnacentral:tRNA from 1 species